GACCUGGCUAGGCGGUCUUGCUGAAAGGUAAGCACUGCUCUGGUCGGGUCUUUCCUUCUGGGGAACCAGUGUGCUCUUAAUUGGGUGCGCUGGGGAUCCAGGACUUUUACUUUGAAAAAAUUAGAGUGUUUAAAGCAGGCCACCGCUUGAAUACAUUAGCAUGGAAUAAUAGAAUAGGAC
rnacentral:rRNA from 1 species